ensembl:lncRNA
CCUUCAUCCAUCCCAAAGACUGAUUAGCGCGGCAUCCUUGCGCUGACACAUCAUGUAAUUUCUGGAGCUCUCUGUGUGUGUUUGUGUGUCCUCACUCAGGAAUGUGAAGCUCGUUCUUAAAGCUGCUAAGAAGAUUCCCCCCCCGUGUGAUCGUGAAAUCUCUCCGUUGUGAGAGAGAGACCAUCUCUAACCUGUCAGUAGAAAUAGGGGCUUCGAGGAGCUCAGUGAGGAAGGAGCGCAGGGUUUCUCCUCUAGAGGAGGAUUUUUACAGGUAAACGGGACUGCGUUUGAUUCAGAGGGAGAACAGACAGCCAGGCGGGCGCUGACGGUUUGGGUUCGGCAGAUUCGCGCUGUGAGACCGGCGGUGAAUUUAAAGACGGCCGCACUGCUGGAACGCACAGCAGGAAUCGCGCACUUUUCCCAGAGACGCGCGGGAUCACCGCCCGGUGCGUGCCACCUGUGCAGCUCAUGCGCAGACAGCAGCCAAACCACGCAUAUGUGCGCGCACAGCGGGUGAUUUCAUAAGAGGGAAAACACAAGACUCUGCCCCGGAAGGUUCUGCAGACAGCAAUAACUCUGAGAGACGCAAUACUCAAUCUUCCAAAGCCAAAGAGAGGCGCACGCUUCCCACUGCUUCCAUUUGGCCCAGCCGAGCUCCACUCCUCCGUUUUUAAACUCAGGUUGUACACGAGGACAAAGUCAGCUCGGUGUUUCUUGUGGAUUCAUGAAUGCAACAUUUUGACAGACUCUCGAACUGCGCAGUCAUCGCCAGCUCUCACAAACUUCACGUCUUCCAUUUCCAGCAGUUUCCAUCAUCCCCCACCAGCUGAGCUUCAAACACCGGGCUUCCAUUAGCUCUUACAUUGUCUGGUGCAGGCAGUGUCAAUAAGGAGACCUGAGGGUGUGCCACGGAGUAUAAAUAGUUGAACAAAGAGGCCGAAACCUGAGACCUGGUCUGAUUCUUCCCUCUGGUAACUCUAGAUGCUCAAACACUGAGAGGCGCACGAACAAACUGCUGCUGAUGUGAGCUUUUUCCUGUUGUUGAACAAGGAGCAGAGCAAGAGGAGGACCCACCCACCCCUUAGAUAAACAGGAGGUGACUUUUAGUCACAGUUGGAACGUCUUUGGCGUGUUUAUGCUCUGAGGGUUUCCAGAUCUGUCCUGUCUGUGUAUGUGUGUGCGUCUGUGUGUGCACUGUUGAGAGACGCCACCACCACUCUGUCCUCUAUCAGGAUGUCCGCGGUGAAGGAGCUGCUGCUGCUGCUGCCUCUGGUCCUCCUGGCACUUGAAGUUUUAUGUCGAUAAACAGACCGAAGCUACAAACAGGCG